GGAGGAGAGAGGAGGACAUGGAGAGCGAGGAGAAACAGAGGGUAGUGUGGGAGAGAGGAAGAGAGAGAGGGGAAACAGAGGGUAGUGUGGGAGAGAGGAGUGUGGGAAGAGAGGGAGGAGGGAGAGAGAGGAGGACAUGGAGAGCGAGGAGAAACAGAGGGUAGUGUGGGAGAGAGGAGUGUGGGAAGAGAGGGAGGAGGGGGAGAGAUGAGGACAGAGAGAGAGAGGGGAAACAGAGGGUAGUGUGGGAGAGAGGAGUGUGGGAAGAGAGGGAGGAGGGGGAGAGAGGAGGACAUGGAGAGCGAGGAGAAACAGAGGGUAGUGUGGGAGGCAGAGAAGGCAGUGUGGGAGGCAGAGAAGGCAGUGUGGGAGAGAGAGGAGUCUGGGAAGAGAGAGCAGAGGGAGAGAUCGAGAUGGAGAGACGAGAGAGGGGAGAGGUAGGAGAGAGAGAGCGCACAGUGCUGCUUUGUCCCAGAGCCAUGAUUACAGCCCACUCUCCUCCCGGUGUGCUUGACUCCCACGCUCCCCUAAGUUACUUGUGC
rnacentral:lncRNA from 1 species